AUGGAGGCAGCAGUAAGGAAUAUUGGACAAUGGACGCAAGUCUGAUCCAGCCAUGCCGCGUGAAGGAUUAAGGUCCUCUGGAUUGUAAACUUCUUUUAUAAGGGACGAAAAAAGGUCUUUCUAGAUCGUCUGACGGUACCUUAUGAAUAAGCACCGGCUAACUCCGUGCCAGCAGCCGCGGUAAUACGGAGGGUGCAAGCGUUAUCCGGAUUCACUGGGUUUAAAGGGUGCGUAGGCGGGCAGGUAAGUCAGUGGUGAAAUCCUAGAGCUUAACUCUAGAACUGCCAUUGAUACUAUCUGUCUUGAAUAUUGUGGAGGUAAGCGGAAUAUGUCAUGUAGCGGUGAAAUGCUUAGAUAUGACAUAGAACACCUAUUGCGAAGGCAGCUUACUACGCAUAUAUUGACGCUGAGGCACGAAAGCGUGGGGAUCAAACAGGAUUAGAAACCCCUGUAGUCCU
rnacentral:rRNA from 1 species